UUAAGCGACUAAGCGUACACGGUGGAUGCCCUGGCAGUCAGAGGCGAUGAAGGGCGUGCUAAUCUGCGAUAAGCGCCGGUAAGGUGAUAUGAACCGUUAUAACCGGCGAUACCCGAAUGGGGAAACCCAGUGUGAUUCGUCACACUAUCAUUAACUGAAUCCAUAGGUUAAUGAGGCGAACCGGGGGAACUGAAACAUCUAAGUACCCCGAGGAAAAGAAAUCAACCGAGAUUCCCCCAGUAGCGGCGAGCGAACGGGGAGGAGCCCAGAGCCUGAAUCAGCAUGUGUGUUAGUGGAAGCGUCUGGAAAGGCGCGCGAUACAGGGUGACAGCCCCGUACACAAAAGCGCAUGUGCUGUGAGCUCGAUGAGUAGGGCGGGACACGUGGUAUCCUGUCUGAAUAUGGGGGGACCAUCCUCCAAGGCUAAAUACUCCUGACUGACCGAUAGUGAACCAGUACCGUGAGGGAAAGGCGAAAAGAACCCCGGCGAGGGGAGUGAAAAAGAACCUGAAACCGUGUACGUACAAGCAGUGGGAGCACCCUUUGGGGUGUGACUGCGUACCUUUUGUAUAAUGGGUCAGCGACUUAUAUUCUGUAGCAAGGUUAACCGUAUAGGGGAGCCGGAGGGAAACCGAGUCUUAACCGGGCGUUAAGUUGCAGGGUAUAGACCCGAAACCCGGUGAUCUAGCCAUGGGCAGGUUGAAGGUUGGGUAACACUAACUGGAGGACCGAACCGACUAAUGUUGAAAAAUUAGCGGAUGACCUGUGGCUGGGGGUGAAAGGCCAAUCAAACCGGGAGAUAGCUGGUUCUCCCCGAAAGCUAUUUAGGUAGCGCCUCGUGAAUUCAUCUCCGGGGUAGAGCACUGUUUCGGCUAGGGGCCAUCCCGGCUUACCAACCCGAUGCAAACUGCGAAUACCGGAGAAUGUUAUCACGGGAGACACACGGCGGGUGCUAACGUCCGUCGUGAAGAGGGAAACAACCCAGACCGCCAGCUAAGGUCCCAAAGUCAUGGUUAAGUGGGAAACGAUGUGGGAAGGCCCAGACAGCCAGGAUGUUGGCUUAGAAGCAGCCAUCAUUUAAAGAAAGCGUAAUAGCUCACUGGUCGAGUCGGCCUGCGCGGAAGAUGUAACGGGGCUAAACCAUGCACCGAAGCUGCGGCAGCGACACUCAGGUGUUGUUGGGUAGGGGAGCGUUCUGUAAGCCUGCGAAGGUGGCCUGUGAGGGUUGCUGGAGGUAUCAGAAGUGCGAAUGCUGACAUAAGUAACGAUAAAGCGGGUGAAAAGCCCGCUCGCCGGAAGACCAAGGGUUCCUGUCCAACGUUAAUCGGGCAGGGUGAGUCGACCCCUAAGGCGAGGCCGAAAGGCGUAGUCGAUGGGAAACGGGUUAAUAUUCCCGUACUUGGUGUUACUGCGAAGGGGGACGGAGAAGGCUAUGUUGGCCGGGCGACGGUUGUCCCGGUUUAAGCGUGUAGGUGUGUGUUCCAGGUAAAUCCGGUUCACUUUAACACUGAGGCGUGACGACGAGGCACUACGGUGCUGAAGCAACAAAUGCCCUGCUUCCAGGAAAAGCCUCUAAGCAUCAGGUAACAUCAAAUCGUACCCCAAACCGACACAGGUGGUCAGGUAGAGAAUACCAAGGCGCUUGAGAGAACUCGGGUGAAGGAACUAGGCAAAAUGGUGCCGUAACUUCGGGAGAAGGCACGCUGACAUGUAGGUGAAGUGAUUUACUCAUGGAGCUGAAGUCAGUCGAAGAUACCAGCUGGCUGCAACUGUUUAUUAAAAACACAGCACUGUGCAAACACGAAAGUGGACGUAUACGGUGUGACGCCUGCCCGGUGCCGGAAGGUUAAUUGAUGGGGUCAGCGCAAGCGAAGCUCCUGAUCGAAGCCCCGGUAAACGGCGGCCGUAACUAUAACGGUCCUAAGGUAGCGAAAUUCCUUGUCGGGUAAGUUCCGACCUGCACGAAUGGCGUAAUGAUGGCCAGGCUGUCUCCACCCGAGACUCAGUGAAAUUGAACUCGCUGUGAAGAUGCAGUGUACCCGCGGCAAGACGGAAAGACCCCGUGAACCUUUACUAUAGCUUGACACUGAACAUUGAGCCUUGAUGUGUAGGAUAGGUGGGAGGCUUUGAAGUGUGGACGCCAGUCUGCAUGGAGCCGACCUUGAAAUACCACCCUUUAAUGUUUGAUGUUCUAACGUGGACCCGUGAUCCGGGUUGCGGACAGUGUCUGGUGGGUAGUUUGACUGGGGCGGUCUCCUCCUAAAGAGUAACGGAGGAGCACGAAGGUUGGCUAAUCCUGGUCGGACAUCAGGAGGUUAGUGCAAUGGCAUAAGCCAGCUUGACUGCGAGCGUGACGGCGCGAGCAGGUGCGAAAGCAGGUCAUAGUGAUCCGGUGGUUCUGAAUGGAAGGGCCAUCGCUCAACGGAUAAAAGGUACUCCGGGGAUAACAGGCUGAUACCGCCCAAGAGUUCAUAUCGACGGCGGUGUUUGGCACCUCGAUGUCGGCUCAUCACAUCCUGGGGCUGAAGUAGGUCCCAAGGGUAUGGCUGUUCGCCAUUUAAAGUGGUACGCGAGCUGGGUUUAGAACGUCGUGAGACAGUUCGGUCCCUAUCUGCCGUGGGCGCUGGAGAACUGAGGGGGCUGCUCCUAGUACGAGAGGACCGGAGUGGACGCAUCACUGGUGUUCGGGUUGUCAUGCCAAUGGCACUGCCCGGUAGCUAAAUGCGGAAGAGAUAAGUGCUGAAAGCAUCUAAGCACGAAACUUGCCCCGAGAUGAGUUCUCCCUGAGACUUAGAGUCUCCUGAAGGAACGUUGAAGACGACGACGUUGAUAGGCCGGGUGUGUAAGCGCAGCGAUGCGUUGAGCUAACCGGUACUAAUGAACCGUGAGGCUUAACCUU
rnacentral:rRNA from 1 species